rnacentral:rRNA from 1 species
GAUCAUGGUCAGGAUGAACGCUAGCUACAGGCUUAACACAUGCAAGUCGAGGGGCAGCAUGAUUGAAGCUUGCUUCAAUUGAUGGCGACCGGCGCACGGGUGAGUAACACGUAUCCAACCUGCCGAUAACUCGGGGAUAGCCUUUCGAAAGAAAGAUUAAUACCCGAUAGUAUAGUAUUUCCGCAUGGUUUCACUAUUAAAGAAUUUCGGUUAUCGAUGGGGAUGCGUUCCAUUAGAUAG